rnacentral:rRNA from 1 species
GGUUAAGCGACUAAGCGUACACGGUGGAUGCCCUGGCAGUCAGAGGCGAUGAAGGACGUGCUAAUCUGCGAUAAGCGUCGGUAAGGUGAUAUGAACCGUUAUAACCGGCGAUUUCCGAAUGGGGAAACCCAGUGUGUUUCGACACACUAUCAUUAACUGAAUCCAUAGGUUAAUGAGGCGAACCGGGGGAACUGAAACAUCUAAGUACCCCGAGGAAAAGAAAUCAACCGAGAUUCCCCCAGUAGCGGCGAGCGAACGGGGAGCAGCCCAGAGCCUGAAUCAGUGUGUGUGUUAGUGGAAGCGUCUGGAAAGGCGCGCGAUACAGGGUGACAGCCCCGUACACAAAAAUGCACAUGCUGUGAGCUCGAUGAGUAGGGCGGGACACGUGGUAUCCUGUCUGAAUAUGGGGGGACCAUCCUCCAAGGCUAAAUACUCCUGACUGACCGAUAGUGAACCAGUACCGUGAGGGAAAGGCGAAAAGAACCCCGGCGAGGGGAGUGAAAAAGAACCUGAAACCGUGUACGUACAAGCAGUGGGAGCACGCUUCGGCGUGUGACUGCGUACCUUUUGUAUAAUGGGUCAGCGACUUAUAUUCUGUAGCAAGGUUAACCGAAUAGGGGAGCCGAAGGGAAACCGAGUCUUAACUGGGCGUUAAGUUGCAGGGUAUAGACCCG